UUCCCAAACUUGGGUUUCCAGCUGAUUUUGGACUACAAUUCCCACCAUCCCUGGCCACUGGUCCUAUUAGUUAGGGAUGAUGGGAGUUGUAGUCCAAAAAUAGCUGAAGACUCAAUUUUGGGAA